UACGUAGGGUGCAAGCGUUGUCCGGAAUUAUUGGGCGUAAAGAGCUCGUAGGCGGUCUGUUGCGUCGGCUGUGAAAACCCGGGGCUCAACCCCGGGCCUGCAGCCGAUACGGGCAGACUAGAGUUCGGCAGGGGAGACUGGAAUUCCUGGUGUAGCGGUGAAAUGCGCAGAUAUCAGGAGGAACACCGGUGGCGAAGGCGGCUCUCUGGAACGGUACUGACGCUGAGACGCGAAAGCGUGGGGAGCGAACAGG
rnacentral:rRNA from 1 species